CAUCACGCGCGGCCCCGUGAAAAGGCGGGGCCAGCCGCGCCGGGGGUCAGAAUGCUGUUGGGAACUGGUGGGCGAGGCUUCCGCAGGUAUCUUGAUCCUGUGUGACUUGCCUCCCCCUAUACCAAGCUCACCUACCUUUUGAAACGUAAUUGAUUCCAUUCCUGCUGGACAGCCUGGGAUCUGGCUCGCCCAGGGUGCUGCACUAAGCAGGAGCCCAGAGCUGUUGAUGUGCGGAGUGAGCUGGGUGGAGCUGCCCUCGUCUUUGUGAUUAUAACUGCACAAGGAGAACUUCACUGGGACUCAACCCCUCAUAAAAUGACAAGAAUAUGGAAUUAAACAGAAAGGAGUAGCACAGUCAACUUAAUAAGAAAUGGAAAACCUG